ensembl:lncRNA
GUUCGAUCCCCGGUACCAAAUAAAUAAAUAAAUAAAUAGUAGUUUCUCUACAACUGAUGGCCAGAAUGGGAGUGAGAAGAACCCUGAGAAGGACUCGUGCAAUGUGGCUGGUUUAAAGGUGAGUAAGUAGAGGACCAUGAGAGAAAGGAUGCAAGCAGGCUGGAGGGAGAAGCCCCAACUGAUGGUCAUGAGAAAUGGACACCUAUAGACUUACAGUUACAAGGAACUGGAUUCUGCCACCAACCUAACUGACCUUGGAAAGAGAUUCAUCUCCAGAGCCACCGGUAAGAGCCCCACUGACACCAUGGUAAGACACUGAGGAGAGAACCCUGGCAGAACCCACCCAGAAUUCUGACUGUACAGAUUUGUGAGACAAUGAACAGCCACUGUGAGACAAUGGUUUUGAAGCUACCCAGUUUGUGGUAACAUGGUAACCUGUUAGGCAGCAAUGGAAAACUAAUACAGGCAUUUAAACAGAUGAAUGAUAAAAGCAAAGCCCUUUUAUCAUAAUCUUUCUAACCAUACCUUUAACAUUAGAAAAAGCAUAUUUGGGAAUAGUCCAAUGAGUUUAACUUCCCUUUCUUUACUAAUUAUUUGCAGAGGCCUCUUUGCUCCAUGGAAAGCCUGGGCCCUCAGCCAACAGGGGGUCCCUGGGCCUAGAAGUCAGAGCAAGAUGCAGUGAUGACCUAUACUUAAUGUCCAGAAAAGGGCAUUACUCCAGGAAUCAGAGUGAUACCCCCUCAUACCAGCAACCAAAGACUUGCCAACACCAGAAGAGAAAACUGAAGCUCAGAGAAGUUGAGUAGCUGCUAUUUACUGAAUGUUUGUUUUCCUCUAAAAUUC